rnacentral:lncRNA from 1 species
AUGUGUUAAUUAAAGGCUUGGUCCCCAGGAUGGUGCCCCAGGGAGAUGGUAGAGCCUUUAAUAGGUAGGGCCUAGAGAGAAGUCUUUAGGUCAUUGGGGGCAUGGCCUGGAAGGGGAUCAUGGGAGUCCAGCUCCUUUCUCUUCUCUUUCUCUUCCUAGCCAUAGAUGAAUGGUUUUGCUCCACCCCAUGCUCCUACCAUCAUGUGCUGCCACAGAGCUAAAGUAAUAGUCAACAGACCAUGGACUGAAGUCUCUAAAACUGGUCUCCAUUUGCUCAGGGUUGGAUGGCAACGUGACCCACCUGCCUUGGGCUCUGCCCACACCUGCUGACAGAAGCCCCCUCUGCUCCGAGACAUGGCUGGGUCUGUCUGUGUCUCUAGACAGGUAUGGCUCCCAUGAUGCAAGGGCGAGACCAUCCACCAACUCCAAGCCAGCUCUAUAUUUUGCUUCCCCUUGGAAUGGGGCAGCAGAGGCAAUAACUGACCAACCACCCUGAUCCUGGAUGAGGACAAUGCCUGGGAAGAGAAGGGAGCAACGAGACUCUGUGGCCGUUGACAUUUAGUACAACAGUCUACUUGAACCCUCUCCCCAUGGCCUACAUCCAGGAGAGACCAGAGGGCUGAUUGCAUUUCCCAUCUACCAACAGGAGCAGUAACUUAUCUUUUUCUGUUUUCUUUUUUUCUGAAAACUGCAGUUCAAACUGCAGAACCGUUUUUAAAAAUUAAUUCUAUUGGUACAUUUUAGGUAUACAAUAUAAUGACAUU